rnacentral:rRNA from 1 species
CACGUAGGGUGCGAGCGUUGUCCGGAAUUAUUGGGCGUAAAGAGCUCGUAGGCGGUGUGUCGCGUCGGCCGUGAAAACCUGCAGCUUAACUGUGGGCUUGCGGUCGAUACGGGCAUCACUGGAGUUCGGCAGGGGAGACUGGAAUUCCUGGUGUAGCGGUGAAAUGCGCAGAUAGUCAGGAGGAACACCGGUGGCGGAAGGCGG